rnacentral:rRNA from 1 species
UACGAAGGGGGCUAGCGUUGCUCGGAAUCACUGGGCGUAAAGGGUGCGUAGGCGGAUUUCUAAGUCAGGGGUGAAAGCCUGAGGCUCAACCUCAGAACUGCCUUUGAUACUGGAAGUCUUGAGACCGGAAGAGGUAAGUGGAACUGCGAGUGUAGAGGUGAAAUUCGUAGAUAUUCGCAAGAACACCAGUGGCGAAGGCGGCUUAUUGGUCCGGUUCUGACGCUGAGGCACGAAAGCGUGGGGGAGCAAACAGG